CUACGGGCCGCAGCAGUGAGGAAUAUUGCACAAUGGGGGGAACCCUGAUGCAGCAACGCCGCGUGGAGGAUGACGCAUUUCGGUGUGUAAACUCCUUUUAUAUGUCAAGAAAAUGACGGUAGCAUAUGAAUAAGCACCGGCUAACUCCGUGCCAGCAGCCGUGGUAAUUCGGAGAGUGCAAGCGUUACUCGGAAUCACUGGGCGUAAAGGACGCGUAGGCGGGUUGGAAAGUCAGGUGUGAAAUCCUACAGCUUAACUGUAGAACUGCACUUGAAACUUCUAAUCUAGAGUAUGGGAGGGGGAGAUGGAAUUAGUGGUGUAGGGGUAAAAUCCGUAGAUAUCACUAGGAAUACCUAAAGCGAAGGCGAUCUCCUGGAACAUUACUGACGCUAAGGCGUGAAAGCGUGGGGAGCAAACAGGAUUAGAUACCCUCGUAGUC
rnacentral:rRNA from 1 species